rnacentral:rRNA from 1 species
GAGUACCACGGGACACGUGAAACCCUGUGGGAAGCAGGAGGGACCACCCUCCAAGGCUAAAUACUACCUAGUGACCGAUAGCGUAUAGUACCGUGAGGGAAAGGUGAAAAGAACCCCGGGAGGGGAGUGAAAUAGAACCUGAAACCCUGCACUUACAAGCUGUGGAAGCACAUUUCUUGUGUGACCGCGUACUUUUUGUAGAACGGGCCAACGAGUUACGUUAAGUAGCAAGGUUAAGCACUUAAGGUG